UCGGCGGGGAUAACCUUCCGAAAGGAGGGCUAAUACCGCAUAAGACCACGAUCUCGAAAGGGAAUGUGGUCAAAGCAGGCCUCUGCACGCAAGCUUGCACCUGAGGAUUGGCCCGCGGCCCAUCAGCUAGUUGGUAGGGUAACGGCCUACCAAGGCAAAGACGGGUAGCUGGUCUGAGAGGAUGAUCAGCCACACUGGAACUGAGACACGGUCCAG
rnacentral:rRNA from 1 species